GGGGAAAAGGACACAAACCUCUUCUGGAACCACAUCUUGAAAGCUAUCAUUCAGGGAGGAAUCUCCACUUCUAAAGAAAAUGCAAGCUCCUUUCGGCACAGAAUAAGAGUGAGAGAGCCACAGAUGAACUCCAUUAAAGGUCCUCUUGAGUGACUGAGCGAGUAGCUCCUCAGGUGUGGACAAGAGAACACAGCAAAUUGGCUUGCCCAGGACACCAUGGAAUUUGUGGUAUUCCUUGAGCACUAUAACAAGCUCUUAUGCAUGGCCCAUGUGACUGAACUUGUACUAAACGGCCUUUGUGCUAAUCUGAACAAAUAUUCCCUGACAAUAGCCCUGUCUACAUCUGCUUCUCAACCUGACUGUCCUGCCAGACAGUUGAAUACCCUGGAGGGUUAUAUUGCUGGGACAGAUAAUUUAAUUUCCUCUGUAGUGCUGUGGGCUUUGUGGCCUCCUGCUCCGUUCCCAUGGAGAUGACGUUCAUCUCACACAGAGACUAGUGUACAUCUUUUGCUGGACAGGGAAAAGCACUGAGGACACCAUGAGAUGAAAUCCCUUCUGGUAGCUUUGUAAUAGCUUAGAGAAGGCUCAAGCUUCCACAGGGAAUUGCACACAAAGUCCUGACCUCUCAGGGGUCGGGCAGAUGGCUUAACUACAUUCAGGUUCCAGCCAGCCUAGGUUCCCUCACCAUUCCAGCAGCUAGAAGAACUCUUCUGGGCGGUGUUUCAUCCAAACUGUAUGCUUCAUAAAUCAGAAGCAGAAAGGUGCAGGACUGAGAUUGCUAUAGCAACAAUAUCUAAGAUGCUCUAGCAUUGCUGUCAAAGUCUGGGUUUCUAUCGGCCCAGUAGAAUCUAUUCCCUACAGCCAUCUAGAGGACAGAAUCAAAACCUCCAAAUGCCUCUCAUUAGGAAUUACUGCAUUCUCAUGAUUUAUUUUUAAUAUUUCUAUUUUUAGUAAAAUGCUGGGAGCUGGGUUCUG